rnacentral:tRNA from 1 species
GGGGCUUUAGCUCAGUGGUAGCUAGACCCGCGCUUCGCAUGCGUGAGGUCACCCGAUCCAACCCGGUAAGCCCCA